rnacentral:rRNA from 1 species
CAGCCGCCGCGGGAAAACGAAGGGGGCUAGCGUUGCUCGGAAUCACUGGGCGUAAAGGGUGCGUAGGCGGGUCUUUAAGUCAGGGGUGAAAUCCUGGAGCUCAACUCCAGAACUGCCUUUGAUACUGAAGAUCUUGAGUUCGGGAGAGGUGAGUGGAACUGCGAGUGUAGAGGUGAAAUUCGUAGAUAUUCGCAAGAACACCAGUGGCGAAGGCGGCUCACUGGCCCGAUACUGACGCUGAGGCACGGAAGCGUGGGGAGCAAACAGGAUUAGAUACCCCCGUAGUCCCUGUCUCUUAUAC